rnacentral:rRNA from 1 species
AACGAACGCUAGCGGCAGGCUUAACACAUGCAAGUCGAGGGGUAUAGGUUUUCGGACCUAGAGACCGGCGCACGGGAGCGUAACGCGUAUGCAAUCUACCUUUCACAGAGGGAUAGCCCAGAGAAAUUUGGAUUAAUACCUCAUAGUAUUAUGAAGUGGCAUCAUUUUAUAAUUAAAGUUCCAACGGUGAAAGAUGAGCAUGCGUCCCAUUAGCUAGAUGGUAAGGUAACGGCUUACCAUGGCGACGAUGGGUAGGGGUCCUGAGAGGGAGAUCCCCCACACUGGUACUGAGACACGGACCAGGCUCCUACGGGAGGCAGCAGUGAGGAAUAUUGGUCAAUGGACGCAAGUCUGAACCAGCCAUGCCGCGUGCAGGAUGACGGUCCUAUGGAUUGUAAACUGCUUUUGUACGAGAAGAAACACUCCUUCGUGAAGGAGCUUGACGGUAUCGUAAGAAUAAGGAUCGGCUAACUCCGUGCCAGCCGCCGCCGUAACAC